UCCGGUAUGGUGUAGUGGCUAACAUUUGACGCUCUCACUUCCUCUCGAGGUUGAAGAUCCGUCAAGCCCAGGGUUCGAUUCCCUGUACCGGAG